rnacentral:rRNA from 1 species
AGCGGCGGACGGGUGAGUAACGCGUGGGUAACCUACCUCAUACAGGGGAUAACAGUUAGAAAUGACUGCUAAUACCGCAUAAGACCACGGUACCGCAUGGUACAGUGGUAAAAACUCCGGUGGUAUGAGAUGGACCCGCGUCUGAUUAGGUAGUUGGUGGGGUAACGGCCUACCAAGCCGACGAUCAGUAGCCGACCUGAGAGGGUGACCGGCCACAUUGGGACUGAGACACGGCCCAG